AGAGUUUGAUUAUGGCUCAGGAUGAACGCUAGCGACAGGCUUAACACAUGCAAGUCGAGGGGCAGCACGGGAGUAGCAAUACUUGGUGGCGACCGGCGCACGGGUGAGUAACGCGUAUGCAACCUACCUAUCAGAGGGGAAUAACCCGGCGAAAGUCGGACUAAUACCGCAUAAAACAGGGGCACCGCAUGGUGAUAUUUGUUAAAGAAAUUCGCUGAUAGAUGGGCAUGCGUUCCAUUAGGUAGUUGGUGAGGUAACGGCUCACCAAGCCGACGAUGGAUAGGGGAACUGAGAGGUUGGUCCCCCACACUGGUACUGAGACACGGACCAGACUCCUACGGGAGGCAGCAGUGAGGAAUAUUGGUCAAUGGGCGGGAGCCUGAACCAGCCAAGUCGCGUUGAAGGAAGAAGGAUCUAUGGUUCGUAAACUUCUUUUGCAGGGGAAUAAAGUGCAGGACGUGUCCUGUUUUGUAUGUACCCUGAGAAUAAGGAUCGGCUAACUCCGUGCCAGCCGCCGC
rnacentral:rRNA from 1 species